rnacentral:rRNA from 1 species
CUCAUUAAAUCAGUCGUGGUCCAAAUGGGCCAGCUUAUCUGUCAUACUUGGAUAACUGUGGUAAUUCCAGAGCUAAUACAUGCAACUCAUACCCUGAUGGUGCGUGCGUUCUUCGGAUCCUCGUGCCUGACGGGUGCUUUUAUUAGACCAAACAUCACUGGUGGCUCACGCCGCUAGACUCAUGUGAUAUGGUGACUCUGGAUAACCUGUUGACAAGCGCACGUACUCCUUAACUGGAGACGGCGCUGCCACUUUCGAGUGUCUGCCUUAUCAGCUAUCAACCGCUCGUUAUGUGCGACCGAUGGCUUUGACGGGUAACGGGGAAUCAGGGUUCGAUUCCGGAGAGGCAGCCUGAGAAACGGCUACCACGUCCAAGGACGGCAGCAGGCACGCAAAUUACCCAAUCCCAGCAAAUGGGGGAGGUAGUGACGAAAUCUAACGAUGCGGGCGCCCUUUCUGGGCCUCGCAAUCGGAAUGAGCAUUUUCUAAACAACCUGUUGAGAACCUACUGAAGGGCAAGUCUGGUGCCAGCAGCCGCGGUAAUUCCAGCUUCAGUAGCAUAUACUAAAGUUGCUGCGGUUAAAAGGCUCGCAGUUGAAUGUCAGUGUUGAGCGAUGGUAAGGUGGACGCUGGAGCACGAGAAUUAAGUGCAAGGCUCCGUGUUGCUGCGUGCGUGUGUGCUGCUCCCCGACGCAAGUCGGUGCGUGUGGUGUGCGCGGCGUUGGCUCGCGGGUGUCGUGUCUCUCUAUACUCCCGUCUGUGACAAGCCUCCUCGCUUCAGUACAUGAGCUGCAGCACCUACCGCCUCGCGGCUUCCCGUGAGCCCUGCUUGGCUUCGCGCCUCGUUGCGGCAACACCGGGUCGUGUCUUGCGUUGCGGUGGCCUUCGUGAGCUUUCACGCUCGCGUCGGUCCUUCUGUGCGUGCUGUAGCAGAGUCACCUUGAGUAAAUCAGAGUGCUCAAAGCAGUCGUAAAGGACCUCGUGUCCUGUGAUAAGUCUUGACGGACUGUCUUGGUUUUGCAUGGUAUGUCGGAAUACGACGUCGAGGCUGGCAAUGAGUCUAUAAAAGUGGUUUGAGUGGCCACAGCCUCGACGUAAUGAUUAAAAGGAACGGUCGAGGGCAUUGGUAUUGCGAGGCGAGAGGUGAAAUUCUAUGACCCCCGCAAGACCUCCUGAAGCGAAAGCGUCUGCCAAGGACGUCUCAUAAUCAUGAACGAGAAUUGACGGAAAAGGSCACCCACCCAGGGAGUGGAGCCUGCGGCUUAAUUUGACUCAACACGGGCCAUCUCACCAGGCCAGAACUCUAGAACGAUUGACAGAUUGAGAGCUCUUUCUCGAUUAAGUGGAUGGUGGUGCAUGGCCGUUCUUAGUUGGUGGAGUGAUCUGUCUGGUUAAUUCCGAUAACGAACGAGACUCUCCCCUGCUAACUAGUCGGUUGGAUCUUGAGUAUUCGAGUCGUGCGCCGGGUGCCGUUGGUACUGUGGCGGUCGCGUCCUUGUUUGUGUUUCGUGCGUGUGUGCUGUGAGAGUCUAGCUGCCGUUAACGCGGUGGGCGUCUUGCGGUGUGCGCGUGCGUGCGCGGGCUCGGGCGUUGCGCUUGCUGCUUUGCCUUUUGUUGUGCUCGGGUCGUCACACUCCAAGUCCGCCGCUUUUGCUAUAAAAUUCUUCUUAGAGGGAUAAACGGCUCUGAAGCCGUACGAGACUGAGAGCAAUAACAGGUCUGUGAUGCCCUUAGAUGUUCUGGGCCGCACGCGCGCUACAAUGCCGGGCACAGCAGGUGUUUUCCCUACUCCGAAAGGAGCGGGCAACCCUCUGAAAGCCCCUGACUUGGUAUCUGUUAUAAAUAUGAGUAGCCGGAGUGGCGUGCUUUUGUGCGCCCUUCGGUGAUUGGCGUGCUUGGGCCUGGGGCUUGCAAUUCUUUCCCACAAACGAGGAAUGCCUAGUAGCGGCGGGUCACUGAGCCCACCGUGACUCAGUCCCUGCCCUUUGUACACACCGCCCGUCGCUACUACCGAUUGGGUGUACCAGUGAGAGCCUUGGACUGGCGUCCGUUGCUCUUUUACAGAGCAACGGUACUGACGGAAG